rnacentral:rRNA from 1 species
UACGGAGGGGGCAAGCGUUGUUCGGAGUCACUGGGCGUAAAGCGCGUGUAGGCGGCUGGGCAAGUCGGAUGUGAAAGCCCGGGGCUCAACCCCGGAAUUGCAUUCGAAACUGCCUGGCUCGAGUCUCGGAGAGGAGGGCGGAAUUCCCGGUGUAGAGGUGAAAUUCGUAGAUAUCGGGAGGAACACCAGUGGCGAAGGCGGCCCUCUGGACGAUGACUGACGCUGAGAUGCGAAAGCGUGGGGAGCAAACAGG